AUGAUUUGAGGAGGAAUGGCCUCUGGCAAUGAUUCCACCACAGUGAAGGAGUUUAUUCUGCUGGGCUUGACACAGCAACCAGAGCUCCAGCUGCCAUUCUUCUUCCUUUUCUUGGGAAUCUAUGUGGUCUCCAUGGUGGGGAACCUGGGCUUGAUGGUUCUGAUUGUUUUGAAUCCUCACCUGCACACCCCCAUGUACUACUUUCUCUUCAACCUUUCCUUCAUUGAUUUCUGCUACUCCUCUGUCAUAACCCCCAAAAUGCUCGUGAGUUUUGUGAAGCAGAACAUCAUCUCUCAUGCUGAGUGCAUGACUCAACUCUUUUUCUUUGCCUUCUUUGUUAUUGAUGAAUGUUGUAUUUUGACAGCGAUGGCCUAUGACAGAUAUGUGGCCAUAUGUAAGCCAUUGCUUUAUAAGGUUACCAUGUCCUAUCAGGUCUGCUUCAUGAUGACAAUGAGUGUGUACACCAUGGGGUUUGUGGGUGCCAUAGCCCACACAAUUUGCAUGCUGAGACUCAAUUUCUGUGAUGGCAACAUCAUUAAUCACUACAUGUGUGACAUACCUCCUCUCCUGAAGCUCUCCUGCACAAACACCUCUGUCAAUGAGCUGGUGGUUUUCAUCGUUGUGGGUGUCAAUGUGAUAGGACCUACAUUGAUCAUCUUCACUUCUUAUACUUUAAUCAUUUUCAAUAUUUCCCAUAUCCGUUCCACUGAGGGCAGAUCCAAGGCUAUUAGUACCUGUAGCUCCCACAUAAUAGCUGUUUCUAUUUUCUUUGGAGCCUCGGCAUUCAUGUAUCUUAAGCCUUCUCCUGUUGGAUCUGUGGGUGAAGAUAAAGUAUCCACUGUUUUCUACACCAUUGUGGGACCAAUGUUGAAUCCUUUCAUCUACAGUUUGAGGAACAAGGAUGUCCACAUUGCACUUCAUAAGACUUUGAAGAAAAGCAUGCUUAUCUAG